rnacentral:rRNA from 1 species
UUGAACGCUGGCGGCAGGCCUAACCCAUGCAAGUCGAGCGGAUGAAGGGAGCUUGCUCCUGGAUUCAGCGGCGGACGGGUGAGUAAUGCCUAGGAAUCUGCCUGGUAGUGGGGGAUAACGUCCGGAAACGGGCGCUAAUACCGCAUACGUCCUGAGGGAGAAAGUGGGGGAUCUUCGGACCUCACGCUAUCAGAUGAGCCUAGGUCGGAUUAGCUAGUUGGUGGGGUAAAGGCCUACCAAGGCGACGAUCCGUAACUGGUCUGAGAGGAUGAUCAGUCACACUGGAACUGAGACACGGUCCAGACUCCUACGGGAGGCAGCAGUGGGGAAUAUUGGACAAAGGGCGAAAGCCUGAUCCAGCCAUGCCGCGUGUGUGAAGAAGGUCUUCGGAUUGUAAAGCACUUUAAGUUGGGAGGAAGGGCAGUAAGUUAAUACCUUGCUGUUUUGACGUUACCAACAGAAUAAGCACCGGCUAACUUCGUG